GACGAACGCUGGCGGCGUGCUUAACACAUGCAAGUCGAACGGGCUCUGUCUGGCUGUGUGCUGGGUGGGGGUCGUGGCGAUCGGUUGAGUAAUACGUGAGUAACCUGCCCUCUUCUUUGGGAUAAGCCUUGGAAACGGGGUCUAAUACUGGAUAUUCCUGUCUGGUCGCAUGGCUGGGUGGGGAAAGUUUUUUUCGGUGGGUGAUGGGCUCGCGGCCUAUCAGCGUGUUGGUGGGGUGAUGGCCUACCAAGGCGUCGACGGGUGGCCGGCGUGAGAGGGUGAACGGCGGAACUGGGACUGGGUCACGGCCCAGACGGGUACGGGCGGCAGCAGUGGGGGGUAUUGGACAAUGGGCGCAAGCCUGAUGCAGCGACGCUGCGUGGGGGGUGACGGCUUUGGGGUGGUAAACCUCUUUCGUCGGGGGACAAGGCUCUGCUUGGUGGUGGGGUUGAGGGUACCCGGUGAAGAAGCGCCGGCUAACUACGUG
rnacentral:rRNA from 1 species